AUUGAACACUGGCGGCAGGCCUAACACAUGCAAGUCGAGCGGGGUUUUCGGACCUAGCGGCGGACGGGUGAGUAAUGCGUAGGAAGCUGCCCGAUAGAGGGGGAUACCAGUUGGAAACGACUGUUAAUACCGCAUAAUGUCUACGGACCAAAGUGUGGGACCUUCGGGCCACAUGCUAUCGGAUGCGCCUACGUGGGAUUAGCUAGUUGGUGAGGUAAUGGCUCACCAAGGCGACGAUCUCUAGCUGGUUUGAGAGGAUGAUCAGCCACACUGGAACUGAGACACGGUCCAGACUCCUACGGGAGGCAGCAGUGGGGAAUAUUGGACAAUGGGCGCAAGCCUGAUCCAGCCAUGCCGCGUAUGUGAAGAAGGCCUUCGGGUUGUAAAGCACUUUCAGCGAGGAGGAAGGGAUGUAUGUUAAUAGCAUGCAUUUUUGACGUUACUCGCAGAAGAAGCACCGGCUAACUCUGUGCCAGCCGCCGCAGUAACAC
rnacentral:rRNA from 1 species